rnacentral:lncRNA from 1 species
GGGUGUCAGCUUGCAGAAAGGCAUCCGCCUUAUAGGACCUACUGGAGGUGCAGGAGUGACUGGGCCUGCCUUCACCUUAGCGAGUACCCAGAGUGAUGGCGAUGGUGAUGGCGGCAGUUACUCGGACAGCCCCAGUUAAGCUGCGCUCUGAGAGAUACAUCCAGAGAGUGCCCAGAAGAAACUCCCUCCUGGAAAAACUAAAAAAGCAGUAUUUAUAACACUGGAA